CUCCUAAUCAUUCUAAUCCUUUCAAAUAGUGCUACUUCCUUGUGACUAAGCUUUCAAAUAUAUGAGCCUAUGGGGCCAUUCUUUCAAACCACAACAGAAGUGCAUGUAGUAGUCACACGGGCGUGGUAUUAGAUGUAUUCAGCUGCAAUUGCACAGGAAUUUAAGUCAUAAGGACCUUGACAGAUUCUUUAACCAGAUGGCCAGAGGUGGACUGCAUAAGGUUGAUUUGAAGUCUUCACAAUUGAAUGAUUCGUGGAGACUGGACCAUUUCAGCAGGAUAGAGGAUCCCCUAAAUAUGCCAUCACCCCAGACAGCAGGAAAUAACUUUAAGAACACAAUGCCUACAUUCCUAAGAGACAUGUCUGCUCCUGGCAGCACCUAUCUAUUUCAGAGAAGAUGAGGAGCAUUGAAGAAACUCACAUGGAGUUUACUUUUCUUUAUGGUAAAGCAGAUGUUUUUCUGAGAAUUCUCUUCCAAUUGCGAGAGCAGAUUAACGGACAAUGGCUAUUGCCUGAAGGAAGCCAGUGAUGAGGAACUGCUGGGUCAGUCAGAGCAUGAAACAUUUUCCUGGUUUGACUCUGUUGUGAUGGAUGCAGUUAUGAGGGGAUUUUGGUCCCAACUAGGGCAGUGUGGCAGCUUCUUUUACAUCAUUUCCCAAAUGGUGAGAACACUUUAGAAAGGUUUCUUCUCUGUAGGAGUCCUUUUAAGAUUUUUUUCUUCUAUAUCUUUUGUUUGCACAAUCUAAAAGCCACCUGGUAUCACACCAGUCAUAAAAAAAAAAAUGAAAAGAGUAGACUUUAAAGAUAGCCAAAGAAGACUAUCACUUUGAACAUGAAAAGAUUAUUUGCAAAUGGUUACUAAUUGUUUAUCCUAUAAUCAAAGUAAAACAGGACUGAAGAGGACAGAGUGUGGCCUUUUGAAGAAAACUAGUUCAGGACCCAGUCUUUGUCUCUGAACACAGCAGCACACCUUACAUGGUUUCUGCUUCAUCAUCUAUAAAUGAGAACAACAGCUUUUCUGUUUGUUUCUCUCAUCUGACUGUUUGGGGUUCAAACCAGAAAAAUGGUAAGGCACUCUAUGGUCAGGAAAUAUGAAAGUAUUUCUACAUAGGUAAAUAAAAGAUGCAUGACAACGUUGCCGUGAAUGAGAUGCUUUGCAACUUGUCUUUUGCCUCAACACAACAGAGAUGCAACAACUUCCUGUCAGUAAUUGUGUUUCUGGGGAAUGGGGGUAAGAAACUAGGUGCAAAAACUGAAAGGUAUGAUGCAGGGGAUGUAAAAGCCACCCUCACCUCCACCCCCUGCCAGAACAAAAAGAGGGGGUAGAGAACAAAGAUUUUAGUCAGCUGCCUCAAUGGUGAAGAGAAAGUUUGCAGGUAGUAGUGAUCGCUCCCGGUGUGCCAUGGGCAGAAGAGAAUGUAGUCUCAGCUCCUGGUGGUGCCAAGAAGAGGAAUGAAGAAGUCUAUGCCAAUAUGGCCAGGGCUGCAAACAGAAUGAGUUUCGGGCAUGGAAAACCAAUAUCAUAACUAAUGCUGAAUUUCUCUCUUUUAUCCUAUGUUCAUUUUUUUUGUCUGUCCUCCAUUUAUUGUCUGUGUACUUGAAUUAUAUAAUUCUAUUUUUACUUACAUUUUCUAUUUUAUCUCUGUAUACCUAGUUCUCAGUGGUUGCUUCAUGCAUAGUUCAUGCAAAAGUCUGUGGAUUUUUGGAAGACAAUCAUUCCAUCAACAAUAACCAUCAGUCAUAAUUUAGAUCACUCAGGGAGAGAGUCUUUGUAUUUACACAUGUUUUUUUCUGGCAGAAUUAUUUCAUCCCAAUGUGCCUUGUUUCUAUUUGCAAAAUGGACUUUAGUUAUUCUUGUGGGGGGCUGAUUUUGAGGUUUUGGUUUGUUUGUGGCUUUGCUAUUCUUAAGAGUCUGUUUGCUAGCAAUAAACUGUCUUCCUUUGUGUGGUAAUGUCCUCAUCUCCCAUUUUUAAAGGAUGUUUUCACUGCAUUAAAGAAACACAUGGAAAAGGACUACUUUUCUUGGCCUUCCAGCCAUGGUUUCUGGGCUGGGAAUGCUGCUUUGAAUUGGUCUUCCACGUGUGUUUUUCUGGGGGCUCAGUAAUUUUGUUGUUGUUUUGUUUUUCAAGACAGGUUUUCUCUGUGUAGCCUUGGCUAUCCUGGAACUCACUCUGCAGACUAGGGUAGUCUCAAACUCAUAGGUCUCUCUGCCUCUGGAUACUGUGUUUAUUUGAUAUGUGAUGCCUAGAGCUUUUAGUUGGAGUUUUCAGGAACAAUCAGGAAAAUACACAAUUUCCAUCUUCCUAGAAGAUGGAGUGCUAUCUUUUUGGAAUAUAUUGUCAUUAUAUAUUACACAGUAAAGGGUUUGGGGACACAUUGAAGCUUUGAGAUCACUCUUGGAGAAAAAUUUAGAUUACUUUAAAAUGAAUAUAAUGAAAGGGUAUUUUUCCCUUGAUGUAUCAUGCUCUAUUCAAUAUCAUUUAAAUUAAAAAUUAAUAUUAGUUAAUUGGAUUAAAUGCAUGUUUAGAAUGUUAGAACAACUUUGGGCCAGCAGCUUAGAUGAAGAGUUCAGUUUAGUCUCUUGCUGGAUUGUUCUGUGGCCUUGGGCAGACCUCUUGGUGUCUCAGCUGAAUAAUGAAGAUUGCUCAAUUUGUUAGGUAAUCCCUUAUAUUCCCUCAUAGAGAACUCCUGCCCACCCCUAUGACACCAAAUUCCUAGGUUUUCCAUGAUACAGUGCUUUAAAUAUGUUGGUUAAGCCAAAUAAAAUCCUCAAAAUUAAAUAUGACAAAAAGGAUGGCUAUUGUUUAGUAAAUGCUUAACUAUGUUUCAGGUUCUAUGGCACAUAUCAUGUGAAUAUUAUCCAAUAAACAUUCUACUGAAGUUCAGGUUACAUCUCAUUUUGUAGAUUUGAAAAUGGAUGCAGAAAGAUAAAAAGCACCAUCCAAGAAUUCUUAAUAGUAAAGAUAUUUUUGAUGUCAAGAUCUUAUUCCAGAGCUGAAUAAUCAGUUAAUUUGUAUUUAUUUUUAUUAUUUUUGGCCACCACUCAAGAAGCAAUUUUAAAGAAGUGAGAUGUCAAAGAUGAUAAAGGUAGCUAGAAAAAUACAUUUGUUGUCAAUUUCUCCAGUAACUUUAUUCUGUUUAGAUUCAUUUUAAUGACAUUAAAUUAUAAAUGUAGAAAAUAGAUGAACAUAGCUUAUUCUUAUCUGUCAUUUGCCAGAUAAAGGAAGCAUUAUUCCUGAGAGAUAAAGACAUAAAACUGAGGAUUAUAAACUAUCAUUCACCAGUUAUAAAACUUAACUUACCAUCUUUACAUAAAUAGUAUAGGGUCUUGGGAACUAGAAUUAUAUUAGCAUUAUGAGCAAUUUUACUCACUAAGAAUGAAUAAGGAGCUAUAUGUACAAAGACUACUUGAGUUAACUAAAAAGUAGAGGUCAAGAUCAUAAGAAAGAAAAAUUAGAGAACAAAAAGUCAAAUUAAAAAUGUAUAACAAUUUAAGCCAUUUAACACAAAACUGGUUCCCAAAUUCCCUAACAAUUAGUGUUAGCUAAUUUCCAUGUACUACCUCACAAAAUAAACUCUGAUUGAUCAAUAACUUACUGAAACCUGUAUGUCCUUAGGAUUUUGACAUUUCUAUGAAAACACAUUUUAUUAAUUGGAAUCAAUUACAUAAGUUUAAGUAUAUUCGAACUGAGCCAAAUUAAAAUGUGUAAAAGAAUUUAAACCAUUUACCACCAUACUUGGUUCUAAAUCCCAUAAGAAACAGUUUUAGCUAAAUUCCAUGUACUCACUCACCAAAAUUAACUUUUAAUUGCUCAAUAACUUAUUAAAAUCUCCUCACAUUCUUUUAUAGUUUUGCUGAAAAACAAUUGCAUGUUUGUGUAGAUACACUGUACAUAUUAUAUGGCAAAACCUGAUAUAAUUAAUGACCUAGUUUAGGCAUAACAAUACAUGAAUCUUGGUGAAUCCUGAUUUAUUCUUUCUUUCACUAGGAAGCCUUCUUCCCCCAGUGUACUAGCUUACUGUGAGAUUGUCUGUGUUCAUCUACAUAGAAAUUGCUAUUCUAUUGGUAUUACAAUAGAAAUUAUUCAAAUAUGACAUUAUGUGUUCUCAGAAUUACUAUGAGUACUAGCUAUGAAUACAGUGAUUGCAACAUAAUUCCUCUAUGAGGAGCUAGGAAGCUGGUAAUUGUCUCUAUACUCUUGUUCUGAGAGUAAAGUAUGCUUUUCUAGGAAAAUGAUUUUUCUCUUUUAAAAGUUACUCUCAUGUUGGUACAUGGAGAACUGAUUCAUGGUCAUAGUUUGUAUUUUUGCCAUAAGUCUAUUGUGUGGAAUAUGUGCUUUGUUGUAGGAAAGCAAGUUUAUUCUUUUUUUGUUUUUAUUGAAACUAAACAAAAUGUUAUGUGGCUCAAACAUAUUAUCCAUGUCCAUCAUAGAGCAGAUUAAAACUGAUCAACUGUGGGUGAGAAGUAUGAACAAGGGUACAACUACGUCCCUGGUCACCCAACUGAAAAUGUAUAAAGAAUUUCUAUUGAGUUAGAAGAGCCCAGUGUGAAAAACCACCCAUGAAAUAUAAAGAUUUCUAGAUUAGGAACACAAAGACCUACAGAACCCAUCCUGCUAUUAGCAAGCUAUAUUAAUGAACUCCUAUGGUCUAAACUUACUCAUCUGUGACACAGGAGAAUGAACUAGAUAUCUCUAAGCUCAAAUAUUUAAAGGAAUUGUAUGUAAACCACAAAAGUUCUGCACUGUAUUCACUGCUGCAAAAUAAGAUGCUCACUGAAAAAUGUUCUAAGUAUCGGCACACAUUUUUUAAACCUUAAACAUUUUAAAGAAAUCUUGUGGGCUGGAGGUAUAACUCAGUAGCAGUGUGCUAUCAGAGGAUGUGUGAGACUUUGGGUUUGAUCUCCAGCAUGAGGAAUAAUGAAGUUUAAAGGACCUCAAAGAAAAUUGCAAUAUACAUGUAAAAUAUAUAAUUGUCUUGUUCUAAGCAAUUUCAGUACUUCACUCCAUUUCCAAUAGUCAGUGCUAUUGCACACAUUCAUUCGGUAUGCAUCCAGUGCCUAUUAUUCGGAGUUCACUGUAGAUAGAAAAAAUGACCAAAAAAAUGUUCACUAAUUGUCCUCCAAACAAAAGGUAAUUCGUCCUUCAGGAUACGUCUUCUCAAUAGAAUCUUACUGAGUAUGUGGAAUGCUUCAUCAAGGAUAGAAAUGGUGCUGCAAGUGGGCAAUUUAAAACCAAAUGAAAUAUGAGAUAGCACUGAUAAAAAUAUAUAUUUAAAAUAAGAAUAUUUUCUUUAAGCAGAAUAUCUUUGUUGCCAUCGUUCUUUGUCCAACUUGGGCAGGCUAUUUAGUUUCAUACAGUAGUCUGCUUUCCCAAUGGCCAAUAUCUCCUAAAUAUGUCAAGAGGACUCCACUGCCCUCAAAGAAGCUGCCACAAAUGCCUGAAGCUUACUGUUUUCUUGAGAAAGGUGGGGUCAAGAGAGGCAAAAAGUGUGAAGAUGCCAAAGGACUUAGGAGGGAUUCACGAGAAGCCCAUGGUCUAUAGUUUCAGACCCACAUCUCUUGGCUGUGACACAUCAAGUCUUUGCUACUUAGGUGUGGACUUUGGGAGCCCACUCCACAUAGAGGAAUACUCCUUCCUGAGCCAAGACACACGGGGGUGGGAUGUGAUAGACUCUGAUGACCCCCUAUGGAAGGCCUCACCCCCCAGGGGGAGCAGAAAGGAUAUGUAAUAGUAGGGUUUUAGUUGGGGGGGUGUAGGGGAGGAGGGGAGGGAGAGGGAACUGGGAUUGACAUGUAAAACAAUAUUUUUCUAAUUCAAAUACAAAAAUCUGUAUGACACUAAAAAAAAAAAGUCUUUGCUACAUGGACUGGUAGAUUUCUCCAGCUCGACCCACAGCAGCACGGCCACCCACUUCACCCCCAAAUGCGGAGCUCGUGCCCACCUCCUACUCUAGACAGGGCAAC
ensembl:lncRNA